UAGUGCCGCGCCUGACGCUGCGGCUCAGCUGCCCGCCGCUGCCGGGCUCCCGUGCCCUCCUCCCUCGCUGUCGGGCUCGUGUGCACGGGGGUGGAGAGGGGGAUCGCUGCCGGGGUGGUGCGGCGCUGCUCCGCUCCAGCCCCAGCACCGCGGGCGGCUGGCUGGGGGCUGGGGCCGCCACCCCCAGCUGCACCGCAGAAACCCUAAAGGCAGGAGAGAGAAACACCUUUUUGUCUUCAAUUUACGGAGAAAGAAAUCCUUCCUGAAAGGAUGGCAGCCUCCUGUCCACACUACUCCAUUUCACUGGUCAGGGCUCUGAGGCUCUGGGACACAGCCUUGACUGGGUCAACUGCCAUGCAGAAAUUAAUAUUUCAAAUAGACUGUCAGAUCUUUAUGCUCUGAAGGGUUCUCAGAGCCUGGUGGCUCAGCAGUGUAUGUCUGCCGACAGCACGCCAAUGCCAAGCAUCGACAGAGAGAGGUCACUGAGCAUGAAGCUGCUGAAGCAGGCAACACUGGAAAUCUUGGAUACCUCUCCAUAGACCAAGAAAUCAUUUAGAAGGUGAAAAGUCUUUAAAGAGUCUGCUGAUCAUUUCACUAUUGAGUUACCUACUUGCAUUCCAAAGCCAUCCAAAAGAUACUCUAAAGUCUUGUUUUUUAUAAUUUAAAUUAACUUGAACUAAAAUUAGUGCAUCAGAAAUUAGCAUUUUGUUACUAUUUAGAUCAAUCUUCCUUUUCUUUUUUUUGAUUACAGUAACAAUUCCACAUUUAAAUGUAUGGGUUUUCAAAAAAUUAUUAAGUUUUAUGGCUCUACAGUCAAUUAAUUUCCUUUCAUAUUCCAUAUUAGGUUUUUCCCACAUAAACUUUAGGAAAAUAUGAAGCCAAUAAAUUACACAUUUAUUAAAAUAGACAAUCAAUCAUAUUUUUAAGCAAUCUUCACCUCAAAUAUUAAAUUAUGUAAUUAAUUUAGAAAAUAAUUAUAAGCUGUAACUAAUUUGACUGCAUGCAUUAUUAAAUAGUAAAUUAAAGCAAUGAAAUAUAGACAGCUUAGAAAACCUUUGCUAAUUUUAUUCUGUAUAAAUAAAAAAAUUGUUAAUAUAAUUCUAAAUUUAGAUUAUUCUGAUUUCAAUUCUUCUAGUUUCUAGAACAAUAGAAAAAAUAUUUCUGUCUCAUUUAGAAUCUGUAAAUAAUUUUAGACGUAAAUAUGUUUUUUUCCAUAUUUUUCCAUUGAGAAAAAUACAUACCUACAGCUGAAUCUGUAAAACCCAUUGAUUUCUAAUCAUUUGGAAAAGUGUUCUGUCUGUACGGUUCUACAAUGAAUUCCAUAAAUAUGUCAAGUAAUUCCUUUCCAUAUAAUCCACCUGUGGCACUGUAUGACUUUAUGUGGUCCAGCUUCCUUCUCCCUGUGGUCUGUUAAUAUCCCAUCCAUAUAUAUAUAUAUAAAAAAAAGAUAGGAACAUUGAAUUGGCUGAUAAAGCUUUUAUAAUCAGUUGAUUUCUACUGACAGUAUCCAGCUCAAAACUACUGAAUGUUGCUGAUGCACAGUAGCAGGAGUAGUUCAUUAUUUCUGCUAUGGCUCCAGCUCUUUCAAGAGGAGGAAAAAACCUGCUUUAAUCAAAAGCUGAGCAUCUUAGGAUUUACUGGGAGACCUGAUUCUUUGAAAAGUCUUUGAUUCUUUGAAAGGGGUCAGAGUGACAUUUCACUAAUGGUUUUCCUUUCUUCCACUUGGCAGAGCAGCUAGUCUGUCUUGUAAUCAGGCUACGAAUAGGACAGGGGGAAUCAAAGCAGGUACUGAUGUUUAGACACAAAAUGGUUUUACCUGAAAGCUGAAGUAUUUUAUGAAUGGUUUCUGUAAAUAUCCAUAAAAGAAGAGGUAAUAUGCGCUUCAAUUCAGGAUCACUUGGUUUCAUAGGUUUGGUACUCAAGAAUAAAUUUACUCUCAGACCCUUGGAAUUAACCUUGCAAUGUUCAGCCUUCUGAUAUUUCUUUUGUUUGUGUAAUCUUCGUCCUCAAAUUUGCUGCACUACACAAUUACACACUGGGAAUAAAGCUAUAAUAAUUAAGGAAGUGAUUUGCACCUUUACUGAACUAAUUAGCUUUAACUGAAAUAGACAUGAAAGUGUUACCUAAUUCAAAUGGCAUUCUUUCUAUUAUUUUAAUAGUUAUUGUUAUGAUUACUAUUAAUUAAUCAUUUAUUAUUAUUAUCAUUGUUGUUGUUAUUGUUACUGUUAUUAUCACUACUUUGCCAUUUCUAUUGAUUGUGUCAUCACUCUUUGCCUUCUCUUUCUUUUAGGAGCCAUGAAAUUCCAACAUAAAAGAAUUAGCCUUGCAAAAACCUCUUCUAUUUUACCUCAUAUAUUGUUCAACUCAUAACACUGGGAUAUUUUAGCCUACAGUGAGAACUCAUUUUUAUCUAAUACACAUAAUUAGGCCAAAUCAAUGGAUUACAGAUUAAACAAGCAGGGAAUUUAACUAUGACUGGAAGAACAUGAUGGAUCAGUAGUCCUAAUAAUAUAUGGUCAUCAUUUUAAAAUGCUGGUUAUUUAUUGAAAAUUUUAUCUUGAAGUGGCCUGCAAAAAACUAGCAGCUUUUAAGUUCUUACUAAUUUACUUCACUUGACAACAAAUUUUUCUUUACAUUAAUUUCAUGUUUGGUCACAUAUUGAAUGGUUACUUAGCCCUGAGUUUUGCUUGUUUUAAAAUAAAACUAUUAGGUCCUUUGGUUGUUGUUAAAUAAAAAAUCUAGAAAUCUGAAAUAGUUUUACGAGCCUUACCUCUUUUUACCAAUUUUAAGCAUGUUUUCUACUGUCCAUUCUGAACCACUUACUUAGUGUUGUGUGGGAGAUUUUUCUCUUUUGAACAUGUUACCAGUUUAUAUUUGCCAUAUAACUAAAAUUUAUUUGACAAUGUUAUGGUCCUUCCUUUCUGCUAUAUCUCUACUAUAGACAGAUUUGAAUAUCAGACAACUCUAUAGAUCUGCACCAUUUUCCUUUGUCUCUCUUUUAUUUUUCCUCUAUUUUAAAGACAAGGAUCCUCUAAUGAAUUGAAAUUUUUUAUUUAUUCUAGUUCACGCAUCAGUAAAUCAAGAGAGCUAUUUCUGAAUGCUGUGUCUAUAUGAAAAAGACUAGUUAUUUGAGGUUCUCCACAACUCUAACACAUAUACAGUGGUACUAACUAAAAACUGAGGUGUUUUUUUGGCUUAAGUUUUACCUUGCCCACCAGAAUUCUGUUUGAUUCUUUGAUAUCUUGCUAAUUCAUCAAUAUAAGAUUUGCAUGCAUUCUACCAUCCUUCCUUUUGCAAAGUAAUUUGAAAACACAAGAGACAGGCUAUUUAGAGAAUCUGACUUUCUGAAUACAGCUAUUUUGUCUCUUUCCCUCCUUCACUUUGUCUGAGCAUUUGUUUUUGAAAAACUAUGGCUAAUACAGAUAUAUUUACAUCCAUUGACUAACCCAUGUACUUUAAGAACUUGUCCGAAUUUUUGUUUUGUUUUGCUUUGUAUUUUUGUUUUGUUUGGGAUUUGUUUGUUUGUUUUGUCCUCAAUUAGAUUUUUAGAUGGCAGAAAAAAAAAUAAAAAUGUCACGAUUGUUGGCAAAUAUAAAGUUCUGCAUGGGUGGUUUUUAAUAGCUUAUCAUCAACAUAUAAUCGAACUGAGUAAUUGCUGCAUAAGAGAGUGACUCUGAACCAGCAGCUGCCCCUAGGCAGUACUUUGUUGAGGAAUGUCACUGCGACAAAAAGUGCUGGACACAUAAUGCAUCAUCAGCAUUUGUGCUGUGGGCAUGUCAUCUAGGUGGAUGGGAAUCACCGGGGUGUGGUAAACGUGAGUGUGCCAAUGACAUCUCAGUGGUAUUAGAUGGAUAGGGGGCAAGUAGAAAGACAAAAAAGGCAAAAGACAAAGAAGCCAAAAAAUUGAGAAAAACAGCUUUUACGACGAAAUGGAAAUUACCUUCAAUGCUGCAGUGCACCACUGACUUUGACAGCUGAAGCAGCAGCAGAGAGAACUUGACAAAGAUAUUGGUUAUAGCAAUUCUGUUGCAAGAAGUUAAAUCUGUUUGAUUCUCCACUGGCUAUAUUAAUCAGUAUUCUUCAAAAAAAACUAGACUGAACAGAAGAAUAUUUUCUUAAGGUAAUAAGAAAUGACUUGAAAGUCUAGAUUUCUGUGUGUGAGUGUGUGUCAACACAUGUCUAUAUUUCUGAGCUAAUGAAGCACAAGAGUUAAAAUAAUUGUGUACUUUUUGCUCACUGGACUUGCCCUGGUUUUGGUCAGUUAAAUUUUUGCUGUAGCUGUGAGAGGGCAGAGCCUGGAGCCAUAUGGGCAUGUCCAGGUUGUUAUUCCAUACCAGGUACAUCAUCCCUGGGGGGCAAAAGUAAAGGACUCUUGAUUUUGGGGAGAGGGGCAUGGCUUGGGGUUGAGAAAAGCAUGGUGGGAGGAGGAAACACGUCAGCCAUUAUAUGGUGUUACCAGAGGGCCCAGGUAAGACUUUUGCUUGGCAAUCACCCUCUCCUUUUGUAUACUUUUAUAAUCAGUGUUGUUUCCCUUACUGCUAGGUUUUCUUAUCUCAUUGCUGUUUCCAGUCAAUUGCGCUUAUCUCAAUCCAUGAUCUCUGCAUUUUGUCUCUCACAGGAUGGGGAGGGAAACAGUUUGUGGUUUUCUUUUUGCUGGAAGUGCUAAAUAGGGGGAUACCAUUCCUAAACCAGGAUAGGAUCAAAGGCUGUGUUAUUCAAAAUAUGAAAAAAGUUUUGUAAUUAAUAUAUAUGUUUGCUUUAUUUAAUUCCCCUUACUAGAUACUGUAUAUCAAAACUAUAAGCUUAUAUAUUAGGAUUAAUUUAGACUUAUAUACCUUAUAGACCUGCUUGCUUUUCCUCCUAAACCUUAAUUUCUGAAAAUUGUCCUUUACUAUUUUAUUGAGGUAUCAAAGUUGAGUAGAGCUUAUGUGGUUAUUACUAUAUAGACUAAAAAGAGAACUUUGAUAUUAUACCAUUGGGAAAUAGCAUUCAAUAUAAUUUACAUUUAGAUACUAGAGUGAAAUGCCUUAUAUAAAGUCACUGGUUCUGUUAGUAGUGGAACCCUGCAUAACUCUGUCUCUGGAUGUUGUGUUUAGAAUAUACUGUUUCUUACAUCUAUUGCUUUCACAUUUCAUUUUGAAAUAAAAAUCAUACUUUAUG